GGAUGAACGCUGGCGGCGUGCCUAAUACAUGCAAGUCGAGCGAAUAGAUAAGGAGCUUGCUCCUUUGACGUUAGCGGCGGACGGGUGAGUAACACGUGGGUAACCUACCUAUAAGACUGGGAUAACUUCGGGAAACCGGAGCUAAUACCGGAUAAUAUUUCGAACCGCAUGGUUCGAUAGUGAAAGAUGGUUUUGCUAUCACUUAUAGAUGGACCCGCGCCGUAUUAGCUAGUUGGUAAGGUAACGGCUUACCAAGGCGACGAUACGUAGCCGACCUGAGAGGGUGAUCGGCCACACUGGAACUGAGACACGGUCCAGACUCCUACGGGAGGCAGCAGUAGGGAAUCUUCCGCAAUGGGCGAAAGCCUGACGGAGCAACGCCGCGUGAGUGAUGAAGGUCUUCGGAUCGUAAAACUCUGUUGUUAGGGAAGAACAUACGUGUAAGUAACUAUGCACGUCUUGACGGUACCUAAUCAGAAAGCCACGGCUAACUACGUGCCAGCAGCCGCGGUAAUACGUAGGUGGCAAGCGUUAUCCGGAAUUAUUGGGCGUAAAGCGCGCGUAGGCGGUUUUUUAAGUCUGAUGCGAAAGCCCACGGCUCAACCGUGGAGGGUCAUUGGGAAACUGGAAAACUUGAGUGCAGAAGAGGAAAGUGGAUUCCAUGUGUAGGGUGAAAUGCGCAGAGAUGAUGGAGGAACAGCCAGUGGCGACGGCGACUAUAUGGUCUGUAACUGACGGUGGAUGUGCGAAAGCGUGGGGAUCAAACAGGAUUAGAUACCGUGGUAGUCCACGCCGUAAUCGAUGAGUGGUAAGUGUUAGGGGGUUUCCGCCCCUUAGUGCUGCAGCUAACGCAUUAAGCACUCCGCGUGGGGAGUACGACCGCAAGGUUGAAACUCAAAGGAAUUGACGGGGACCCGCACAAGCGGUGGAGCAUGUGGUUUAAUUAGAAGCAACGCGAAGAACCUUACCAAAUCUUGACAUCCUUUGACAACUCUAGAGAUAGAGCCUUCCCCUUCGGGGGACAAAGUGACAGGUGGUGCAUGGUUGUCGUCAGCUCGUGUCGUGAGAUGUUGGGUUAAGUCCCGCAACGAGCGCAACCCUUAAGCUUAGUUGCCAUCAUUAAGUUGGGCACUGUAAGUUGACUGCCGGUGACAAACCGGAGGAAGGUGGGGAUGAUGUCAAAUCAUCAUGCCCCUUAUGAUUUGGGCUACACACGUGGUACAAUGGACAAUACAAAGGGCAGGGAAACCCAGAGGUCAAGCAAAUCCCAUAAAGUUGCUCUCAGUUGGGAUUGUAGUUUGCAACUAGAAUACAUGAAGCUGGAAUCGUUAGUAAUCGUAGAUCAGCAUGGUACGGUGAAUACGUUCCCGGGUCUUG
rnacentral:rRNA from 1 species